GGGGAUGUGGCUCAGUGGCACAGCACUUGCCUGGCAUGCGUGAGACCCUGGCCUCCAUCCCCA
rnacentral:tRNA from 1 species